GACGAACGCUGGCGGCGUGCUUAACACAUGCAAGUCGAACGGAAAGGCCCUGCUUUUGUGGGGUGCUCGAGUGGCGAACGGGUGAGUAACACGUGAGUAACCUGCCCUUGACUUUGGGAUAACUUCAGGAAACUGGGGCUAAUACCGGAUAGGAGCUCCUGCUGCAUGGUGGGGGUUGGAAAGUUUCGGCGGUUGGGGAUGGACUCGCGGCUUAUCAGCUUGUUGGUGGGGUAGUGGCUUACCAAGGCUUUGACGGGUAGCCGGCCUGAGAGGGUGACCGGCCACAUUGGGACUGAAAUAAGGCCCAGACUCCUACGGGAGGCAGCAGUGGGGAAUAUUGCACAAUGGGCGGAAGCCUGAUGCAGCAACGCCGCGUGCGGGAUGACGGCCUUCGGGUUGUAAACCGCUUUCGCCUGUGACGAAGCGUGAGUGACGGUAAUGGGUAAAGAAGCACCGGCUAACUACGUG
rnacentral:rRNA from 1 species